rnacentral:misc_RNA from 1 species
CCUCCUUAUACGAUUUAGAACUUAUUUGUUCGUAGUGUCCACACAGAUGAUUGUUAGUUAGUACUGCCCUUUGGGUUUACUAAUUAAUAUGCUCUUUAAAAAUUUGGAAAAGCUGAUAAUAAAAUUCUGAUAAAUAUUCGUAUUUAUCAAGAGUUUUCAAAAGUAAAAAAGAAUGAUAGCAGUAUCAUUCAGUGCCAUUUAGUCAACUCUUAUGAGUUGAUUGAUUGGUAUCUACUUUAGUAUUCAAUAUUAACUUCUGGCGAAGUUAAACUGUCACAUAACAAAGACCCGUUUGGGUUGUAUGGGUAAGUGACUAAACGUACACGGUGGAUGCCUA